AUGGUGAUGCUCCCUGUGCUCGAGUUCGCUGAUCCCAAUGAUCAAGGAGGCAGACACUAUUGGGUGUUUAACAUCAACUUAAGGGAUCAGCAUUUCGAGGUGCUAGAUUCUUGGAGGAAGCUAGACUACCCCGACUUAAUACACUGUGCUUCAAUUAUAGCGGGGGCGGUGAGGUGUUUAUGGAAGCAGCACUACCCAAAGCAUAACAUCAGUCACUUUUAG
rnacentral:rRNA from 1 species